rnacentral:rRNA from 2 species
UUCUCUGAUGUUAGCGGCGGACGGGUGAGUAACACGUGGGUAACCUACCUAUAAGACUGGGAUAACUCCGGGAAACCGGGGCUAAUACCGGAUAAUAUUUUGAACCGCAUGGUUCAAUAGUGAAAGACGGUUUCGGCUGUCACUUAUAGAUGGACCCGCGCCGUAUUAGCUAGUUGGUAAGGUAACGGCUUACCAAGGCGACGAUACGUAGCCGACCUGAGAGGGUGAUCGGCCACACUGGAACUGAGACACGGUCCAGACUCCUACGGGAGGCAGCAGUAGGGAAUCUUCCGCAAUGGGCGAAAGCCUGACGGAGCAACGCCGCGUGAGUGAUGAAGGUCUUCGGAUCGUAAAACUCUGUUGUUAGGGAAGAACAAAUUUGUUAGUAACUGAACAAGUCUUGACGGUACCUAACCAGAAAGCCACGGCUAACUACGUGCCAGCAGCCGCGGUAAUACGUAGGUGGCAAGCGUUAUCCGGAAUUAUUGGGCGUAAAGCGCGCGUAGGCGGUUUCUUAAGUCUGAUGUGAAAGCCCACGGCUCAACCGUGGAGGGUCAUUGGAAACUGGGAAACUUGAGUGCAGAAGAGGAGAGUGGAAUUCCAUGUGUAGCGGUGAAAUGCGCAGAGAUAUGGAGGAACACCAGUGGCGAAGGCGGCUCUCUGGUCUGUAACUGACGCUGAUGUGCGAAAGCGUGGGGAUCAAACAGGAUUAGAUACCCUGGUAGUCCACGCCGUAAACGAUGAGUGCUAAGUGUUAGGGGGUUUCCGCCCCUUAGUGCUGCAGCUAACGCAUUAAGCACUCCGCCUGGGGAGUACGACCGCAAGGUUGAAACUCAAAGGAAUUGACGGGGACCCGCACAAGCGGUGGAGCAUGUGGUUUAAUUCGAAGCAACGCGAAGAACCUUACCAAAUCUUGACAUCCUUUGACCGCUCUAGAGAUAGAGUCUUCCCCUUCGGGGGACAAAGUGACAGGUGGUGCAUGGUUGUCGUCAGCUCGUGUCGUGAGAUGUUGGGUUAAGUCCCGCAACGAGCGCAACCCUUAAGCUUAGUUGCCAUCAUUAAGUUGGGCACUCUAGGUUGACUGCCGGUGACAAACCGGAGGAAGGUGGGGAUGACGUCAAAUCAUCAUGCCCCUUAUGAUUUGGGCUACACACGUGCUACAAUGGAUAAUACAAAGGGCAGCGAAUCCGCGAGGCCAAGCAAAUCCCAUAAAAUUAUUCUCAGUUCGGAUUGUAGUCUGCAACUCGACUACAUGAAGCUGGAAUCGCUAGUAAUCGUAGAUCAGCAUGCUACGGUGAAUACGUUCCCGGGUCUUGUACACACCGCCCGUCACACCACGAGAGUUUGUAACACCCGAAGCCGGUGGAGUAACCUUUUAGGAGCUAGCCGUCGAAGG